rnacentral:rRNA from 1 species
AUACGUAGGGGGCGAGCGUUGUCCGGAAUGACUGGGCGUAAAGGGCGCGUAGGCGGCCCGGUAAGUCUGGAGUGAAAGUCCUGUUUUUAAGAUGGGAAUUGCUUUGGAUACUGUCGGGCUUGAGUGCAGGAGAGGUAAGUGGAAUUCCCAGUGUAGCGGUGAAAUGCGUAGAGAUUGGGAGGAACACCAGUGGCGAAGGCGACUUACUGGACUGUAACUGACGCUGAGGCGCGAAAGUGUGGGGAGCAAACAGGAUUAGAUACCCUGGUAGUCCACACUGUAAACGAUGAAUGCUAGGUUUAGGGGGUAUCGACCCCUUCUGUGCCGCAGUCAACACAAUAAGCAUUCCGCCUGGGGAGUACGGCCGCAAGGUUGAAACUCAAAGGAAUUGACGGGG